GUGGGGAAUUUUGGACAAUGGGCGCAAGCCUGAUCCAGCAAUGCCGCGUGUGUGAAGAAGGCCUUCGGGUUGUAAAGCACUUUUGGCAGGAAAGAAAUAGCGCGUGCGAAUACCAUGUGCGAAUGACGGUACCUGCAGAAUAAGCACCGGCUAACUACGUGCCAGCAGCCGCGGUAAGACGUAGGGUGCAAGCGUUAAUCGGAAUUACUGGGCGUAAAGCGUGCGCAGGCGGUUUUGUAAGACAGGUGUGAAAUCCCCGGGCUCAACCUGGGAACUGCACUUGUGACUGUAAGGCUAGAGUGUGUCAGAGGGAGGUGUAAUGCCGCGUGUAGCAGUGAAAUGCGUAGAGAUGCGGAGGAACACCGAUGGCGAAGGCAGCCUCCUGGGAUAACACUGACUCUCAGGCACGAAAGCGUGGGGAGCAAGCAGGAUUAGAAACCCCUGUAGUCC
rnacentral:rRNA from 1 species